CGGUGACAGAGUGCUGUACCCAUUAUCAUGGAUUGUGCCUUUAUUUGUGGUGUUUUCCACUUUUGGUGCAGCCAAUGGGAGCUGUUUCACCGCAGGCAGGUUGACAUAUGUGGCGGGACGGGAGGGCCACAUGGUUAGGAUCAUGUCGUACAUCAGUGUGAAACGUUACACACCUUCUCCAGCUCUAAUGUUUAAUGGUAUCUUGUCAAUCAUCUACAUCAUGCCUGCAGAUAUAAACACUCUGAUCAAUUACUUCAGUUUUGCUCAGUGGGUUUUCUAUGGGCUC